GUCUCACAAAUGGACUUUGGU
ensembl:piRNA 21ur-4711 ncRNA